rnacentral:misc_RNA from 1 species
GGUUUAACUCUUCUUGGUGAAAGGUUUGUGACUGGGUUGCAUUUUGUUUAUCGUUUUGAUUCAGCAAAGUUAGGUUUACACUUUGAUUUAUUGAAGACUGGGCACUUUUCACAUCCUUCAGCAGUUUCUUGAGAUUUAUCAAUUUUAGUUGACUAGAUUUUGCAAUGAUUGAUUGCUUACAUCCAUAUUAGUCUUUAUAUUUUAAUAAGACUGAGACAAAUAUAAUGCAAAAUCAUGGACAGAAAUUCCUUGUUGCUUUCUUGGGUAUCAUUCCACUCAAUCAAAUAAGUGAACUGAUUUUUCUUCCUAUCUUUUCCAUCCUAUUUUCUCCAUCCUCCCAACCGAAAACAGGGUUGGUGUCUUAUUUCAGCACUCUACAUGUGCCCAAUAUACUAUUCCCGAGUCACAACUCACAAGUUUUGUAUGUCUGUACUUGGUUUGGCUGUGAAUGCAUGCUUACUUACUUGGGAAGAAUUACAUUGUAUAAGAAAGUAAAAUCUAAAAAGGGUCAAAUUAAUACAGAAAAAGAGAAACAUGAAAAAUAUAACUGAUGAUGUGCACCUUUUUUACUCAUUACAUUAUUUUCUUUUGAAUAAUCACGUGAUUUCAUUUGUUUCUCUCUGCCCUGAAGAUUAAUUUGAUAUUUCUGAAAGUCCAAAGAAUCUUAUCAGAAUAAUGGAUUUAUUGAAGUUCUAAUUUCAAAUGGAUUGCUGUGCAUGUGCAAGGACUGACUAGUAGCAUGCUUUGGAUCCAAUAUAAUCGAAUUUAUUUGCUUCAAUUGCAGGCAUAUGGUUUCUUCAAUUGUUUAAUUUUUUUUAUAUGCAGCUUUGUAAGUAUUUAAAAGAGUACUAUGCUAAUGUAGUGAUUUUUAUAUUCUUUUGUAGGCUGUUCCAAGUAACUUGGUUG